rnacentral:rRNA from 1 species
UACGAAGGGAGCUAGCGUUGUUCGGAAUCACUGGGCGUAAAGCGCACGUAGGCGGAUUUGUAAGUCAGGGGGUGAAAUCCCGGGGCUCAACCUCGGAACUGCCUUUGAUACUGCAAAUCUCGAGUCCGAUAGAGGUGGGUGGAAUUCCUAGUGUAGAGGUGAAAAUUCGUAGAUAUUAGGAAGAACACCGGUGGCGAAGGCGGCCCACUGGAUCGGUACUGACGCUGAGGUGCGAAAGCGUGGGGAGCAAACAGG